rnacentral:rRNA from 1 species
AUUGAACGCUGGCGGCAUGCUUUACACAUGCAAGUCGAACGGUAACAGGUUAAGCUGACGAGUGGCGAACGGGUGAGUAAUGCAUCGGAACGUGCCCGAUCGUGGGGGAUAACGCAGCGAAAGCUGCGCUAAUACCGCAUACGAUCUGAGGAUGAAAGCGGGGGACCGUAAGGCCUCGCGCGAUCGGAGCGGCCGAUGUCAGAUUAGGUAGUUGGUGGGGUAAAGGCUCACCAAGCCAACGAUCUGUAGCUGGUCUGAGAGGACGACCAGCCACACUGGGACGGAGACACGGCCCAGACUCCUACGGGAGGCAGCAGUGGGGAAUUUUGGACAAUGGGCGAAAGCCUGAUCCAGCAAUGCCGCGUGCAGGAAGAAGGCCUUCGGGUUGUAAACUGCUUUUGUACGGAGCGAAAAGGCUCUCUCUAAUACAGGGGGCUCAUGACAGUACCGUAAGAAUAAGCACCGGCUAACUACGUGCCAGCAGCCGCCGUAACAC